rnacentral:rRNA from 1 species
UACGGAGGGUGCAAGCGUUAUCCGGAUUUACUGGGUUUAAAGGGUGCGUAGGUGGAUAAUUAAGUCAGUGGUGAAAUCUUCAGGCUUAACCUGGAAACUGCCAUUGAUACUAUAGAUCUUGAAUUUUCUGGGGGGAUAGCGGAAUAUGUCAUGUAGCGGUGAAAUGCUUAGAUAUGACAUAGAACACCAAUUGCGAAGGCAGCUGGCUACACAAAUAUUGACACUGAGGCACGAAAGCGUGGGGAUCAAACAGG